CGCUGGCGGCGUGCUUAACACAUGCAAGUCGAACGAGGAUAGUGGAAGCUUGCUUUAGCUAUCGAGUGGCGGACGGGUGAGUAACGCGUGAGCAACCUGUCUCAUACAGGGGAAUAACGCAUCGAAAGAUGUGCUAAUACCGCAUAGGACCACGAAGCUGCAUGGCUUUGAGGUGAAAGGAGGAAUCCGGUAUGAGGUGGACUCGCGUCUGAUUAGAUAGUUGGUGAGGUAACGGCCCACCAAGUCAACGAUCAGUAGCCGACCUGAGAGGGUGAUCGGCCACAUUGGGACUGAGACACGGCCCAGACUCCUACGGGAGGCAGCAGUGGGGAAUAUUGGGCAAUGGGCGCAAGCCCUGACCCAGCAACGCCGCGUGAAGGAAGAAGGUUUUCGGAUCGUAAACUUCUGUCCUUGGUGAAGAGCGAAAGACGGUAGCCAAGGAGGAAGCCCCGGCUAACUACGUGCCAGCCGCAGC
rnacentral:rRNA from 1 species